rnacentral:lncRNA from 1 species
UCCGCUCCCUCCUCUCUCCCGCUAGAUAGCGCGCGUAUCUAGCUUCCGCCUCCGCCCUAGUGGUGUACCCUUUGUAAUUGUUACCGCUGAAACGGUGAACCUGUCUCCGACACUCCUCCCAGUCGUCGUAGACUCCGGGAACCUUACCCUUGUACACGACAUACGACGGCAUCUCUAUGCACUAGACAAUAAAACGUUAGUAGCAAUUCACAGAUAAUAUAUAAGCAAUAUAUACGUAUGCAACAAAAGGAUCGGAAGAGAAAAGAAACACAUUAAUAGCACGAUUCAUGGUCCUACUAAUAAAUAGCAUCGAUUACAUAUAAGUUGAACGACUGUCCAAACUAAAGAGACAUACAAGUUCAUUAAAGUUUAAUUACAACAUGAGCUAAUCGAUAUUUCAGAACUACAUAGCAUCAUUACUUUCGACUCAACUCAGGGACCGGAGCGUGGAUGAAGCCGCCGUCUUUUGUGAUGGUCAUGAAUGUGCGGUCGUUGUCAGCCAGCAUUUGCAGCGUUGUUUCUAUUUCACUGUUGGACGGUUGAUAUUUGAGGUAGAACUGCCCCGAGGUACGAAGGACAUCUUGAUAGAUGAUUUCCGCAAACUCCGACUGGAUGCGAAAGAAUUCUUGUCUGAUGUCUUCGUCCUGGAUUGCCGACAAGCGUGCGGCCCAAUCUUUGAGAUUAUUUGGUAGCAUAAGGUGAUUAUGGUCCCGUACGACCGCCCGCAUGUGAUGGAGGGCGUAGUAGGCAUCCUUCUGACUGCCAGGCGGCUGCUUGACGCAGGGGAACGUCGUUACAUGGGUGAACACGUGCUUGGCGUACCUACAAAUUGGCCUCCUGAAGGUGCCUCCAGAUUUGGCGUAGCCGGGGAGAGCAUCAUCAAGAAAUUUCUUCAUAUUUGUGUAGUCUUUCUUCGACUGACGGUCCGAGUCGAAAUACGUAGCCAUGGAAUAUUUCGGGCUUAAGAGGAUGAGUGUGCAAUAUGUGUCACUGCACAAAACAUGGAAUGUUAGAAAAAAAAGAACGAUCGAAAUCUAAGAAAUCAUAUGUUACGUGGCGGUGAGGGAAUGACUUACUCGGAAAAGUAAGGCACGAGGAAGUUACCCUUAUCUGGGUUCGCCAGAAUGAUGCCUUCGAGGUAUGAACUCGCGACUUGCCGGUCCCCAGCGCUGCCCAAGAUCUUGGCACGCAUGUAGAAGGGGUCGACUAUCACGAUGUCCGGGGUCUUGUCUCUAAUGAUCCGCAUCUCCAUACUGAGCGAAAAUAGCCGAAUGAAGGUGUAGUGCAGCAGAUGAAGGUUAAACAUAGCGAAGAUGUCAUCAAACCGCAGGACGAUCAUACGCCCGAUGGUGCUAUCGACAAAGCCCUUGCCCUCUGGCACCUGGGCCACGAAAACCGGGUAUGCCACAUCAUUCUCGGAGAGACGCCGCUUCUCCAUAGAAAUAACACUGUCAUGCAGACUCCGCAUAGCACCGGUUGCAGCAUUGAGCAGAUUAGUCGGUAGCAUCGGCCUACCCGCCACAUGCACCCUCCUCGAGAUAUCCUUAGGUAUUGGUGGCCCAUCCUGAGCACGGAUCGUACUCGGUGCCGGUUGGCUCGCACCCUUGUUAUUUUUUCUUUUCCAUCCCUUCUGCUUCUUCUGCUGUAAUGGGAUCGAGUUCUGCUCAGAGACCACCUUCUUGAGUGUGUUGGGGCUGAUAAUAUUUCGCACCUCGGCUAUUUGAUGCUCAGUGAAGGCGGCAGCUGGAGGCGUCUCCUGAGAACCGAACGCCAGACAACGCCUGUUGCAACUGGGUUUCUCCGCGGUACCAGCUAGAUCGCGAUCGUCUUUUGCAGGGUUGGGUUCUUAAGAAGGAGGCCCCAAGAAUUCGUCACCGUACCCAUGUUCGUUGAAGUACUUAUCGAUGUUGGAAAAUGUACCGUCGUCGUCGUCAUCCGGAUCCUGUGCCAUAUGCAUGUCCGGAUCAGCUGACGGCGGUAGCCUUGCGGCGGUCUUGCCAUGGCUUGGCGCUGGCACGACUGGCGGUGUUGUCUGUGGGAUGGUGCCCCGCCCCCAAACGAAUCUGGCUCUUCGGCCAAAGCAUGGACCAGCUUAUGCAGGCGCUGAGGGUCAUCACAUCAUCUUCGUCGGCCCCAGGGGGUCGAUACGGAGGUAACAAGUCGUCGCAGUCCCGCAGCACGCGAACCAGUUGAACCCUAUAAAUGGUGGGUGGCAUCGGAUUACCGUGGAACACGCGGUUGCCCGGUUGAACGAUUCUGGCCUUGGCGACAUCGAUCAACUCGCCGUCCACGAAGUGCAGGAGAGUGCAUGGAACGUCGGUGGCGCCCUGCGAAAACAUGUAGGGCGUCAGGGAUGCCCAGUCAAAGGCAAGGAGAUGAAGUCAUCGGCCGAGGCUUAGUUAUCGUGAUGGCGUCGAGCUCGGCUAAUGUCGAGGCACCGCCAACGGCGGGCGUGCAAGUGACGGAGGGGCCGCUUGCUGCCGAGGUGCCGGCCGGCGUAUUCUUCCCACACCCGGGUGCAUUAAGCUCCAAUGCCGGCGCCGACGCCGGAGACACCAAUGCCGCCUCCGCGGGAGACACCAAUGGCGCCGGCGCGUUGUGCGAGUUGCUGCCCGUGAAGCUGGGAAUCAGGGGCGGCCCCUGUUGGCCGCCCGCAAUCCACGCCUGCAGCCCCUCAAGCAAGGUAGGCAUAAUGGCGGUGAUCCUCGCUCCCAGUUGGUCUCGCACUUGCUCUUCGACUAUCUCCGGAAUCCACGCCACUUGUGCGUUGAGUUCUUUAACCUUGCGCUUUUGGAUUUCCGAGCUGGUCUUUCUCUCCUUUCGCCCAGCCUUAUAGUAUUCCAACCAUUUCGUGGACAAGCCUUUGCCGGCCACACGACCAGCUGACGACGACUUACUGAACUUAUCAUUGUGUUUCAUUACGUUCAACGCCCUAUUUAAAGUGGUGUCCCAAGGGGAGCUCUAAGACCCCGCACUACUGCUUUCAGUGUCCUGCGGAAGGAACGUGAACCAUUUAGAAAUUUGGCUUCAUUAAUUAGAAUGCAACCAUAUGGAGCUAAUUACGCGGGGGUGUAUUCCUUACCAGAACAAGCUCAAGCGCCUUGGUCUUCGGAUCCGUGUAAAGCUCCUUUGUUACCGGGUCCACCAUGUACCGGGCCCUGACAUAGUUCCUGGUCUGCUUGCCACGGUAUUUAUCGAAGAGGGGCGGUAGGCCUUGCUCGGCACGCUCCGCGUCCUCCUUGUCCCAUAUAGGUUCCGCCACUCUGUAACCGCCGGGACCGAGUGUGUGGUGUCCUAAGUUCAAGUCCCACAUAUCUUUCCCCCACUGACUUGAUUCCACGGAUGCGUUGCUCUCGCACUUGAUCUUGAACUCCAGGUAGUCAGCUUCACUGAUCGAAGGAUUUGUCUCCUUGAUCUUCUCAUAACUAUCACCACUUAGAAUCCUUCUCAUCACCGCGGCUCUCCAAGUAGCCAGGGCCGUGCUCAUCUUCGUGAGGGCGGCACUGUUCACUUUAUUUCCUGAGAGGCGUGUGUUUGCGAAGUCACCGGGGAACUUGUAUCGUUCGUGCAGCUUCAUGAAGAGGAGGUUGCGCAAAUUCCCUCGAUCACGAUGCCUUAGGUUCUCGGUGUUGAUCGAGACAGCGUUCCGGAGAAUGCACCCGAGUUGUCCCGCGUACUCACUGACUAAUUCUUUGGGCGCCGUUGGAUGCCCACUGGAGGACACUUCAGUAAAUUCCUCCUUGACGGUGCCGAGCAUGUUCGGGCGCCGGUCCUUUCGUUGCCUCUUCGGUUGGCUACCAUCUGUGUGUGCGCUGCCAUCAUCAGUGGUGGCAUCCCUGAAGGAAAUAUGCCCUAGAGGCAAUAAUAAAGUUAUUAUUUAUUUUCUUAUAUCAUGAUAAAUGUUUAUUAUUCAUGCUAGAAUUGUAUUAACAGGAAACAUAAUACACGUGUGAAUACAUAGACGAACAGAGUGUCACUAGUUUGCCUCUACUUGACUAGCUCGUUAAUUAAAGAUGGUUAUGUUUCCUAACCAUAGACAUGAGUUGUCAUUUGAUUAACGGGAUCACAUCAUUAGGAGAAUGAUGUGAUUGACUUGACCCAUUCCGUUAGCUUAGCACUCGAUCGUUUAGUAUGUUGCUAUUGCUUUCUUCAUGACUUAUACAUGUUCCUAUGACUAUGAGAUUAUGCAACUCCCGUUUACCGGAGGAACACUUUGUGUGCUACCAAAUGUCACAACGUAACUAGGUGAUUAUAAAGGUGCUCUACAGGUGUCUCCGACGGUACUUGUUGGGUUGGCGUAUUUCGAGAUUAGGAUUUGUCACUCCGAUUGUCGGAGAGGUAUCUCUGGGCCCACUCGGUAAUGCACAUCACUUAAGCCUUGCAAGCAUUGCAACUGAUGAGUUAGUUGCGGGAUGAUGUAUUACGGAACGAGUAAAGAGACUUGCCUGUAACAAGAUUGAACUAGGUAUUGAGAUAGCGACGAUCAAAUCUCGGGCAAGUAACAUACCGAUGACAAAGGGAACAACGUAUGUUGUUAUGCGGUCUGACCGAUAAAGAUCUUCGUAGAAUAUGUGGGAGCCAAUAUGAGCAUCCAGGUUCCGCUAUUGGUUAUUGACCGGAGACGUGUACUCGGUCAUGUCUACAUAGUUCUCGAACUUUAGUUGUCACACUUUGGUUCGGCGGUAUUGUUGGAUGAAGCGGCCCGGACCGACAUUACGCGUACGCUUACGCGAGACGGGUUCUACCGACGUGCUUUGCGCACAGGUGGCUGGCGGGUGUCAGUUUCUCUAACUUUUAGUUGAACCGAGUGUGGCUACGCCCGGUCCUUGAGAAGGUUAAAAAAGCACUAACUUGACAAACUAUCGUUGUGGUUUUGAUGCGUAGGUAAGAACGGUUCUUGCUCAGCCCAUAGCAGCCACGUAAAACUUGCAACAACAAAGUAGAUGACGUCUAACUUGUUUUUGCAGGGCAUGUUGUGAUGUGAUAUGGUCAAGACAUGAUGCUAUAUUUUAUUGUAUGAGAUGAUCAUGUUUUGUAACCGAGUUAUCGGCAACUGGCAGGAGCCAUUUGUCGCUUUAUUGUAUGCAAUGCAAACGCCCUGUAAUGCUUUACUUCAUCACUAAGCGGUAGCGAUAGUCGUAGAAGCAUAAGUUGGCGAGACGACAACGAUGCUGUCGCGCCGAUGACGAUGGUGAUCAUGACGGUGCUUCGGAGAUGGAGAUCACAAGCACAAGAUGAUGAUGGCCAUAUCAUAUCACUUAUAUUGAUUGCAUGUGAUGUUUAUCUUUUAUGCAUCUUAUCUUGCUUUGAUUGACGGUAGCAUUAUAAGAUGAUCUCUCACUAAAUUAUCAAGGUAUAAGUGUUCUCCCUGAGUAUGCACCGUUGCGAAAGUUCUUCGUGCUGAGACAUCACGUGAUGACCGGGUGUGAUAGGCUCUACGUUCAAAUACAACGGGUGCAAAACAGUUGCACACGCGGAAUACUCAGGUUAAACUUGACGAGCCUAGCAUAUAACAGAUAUGGCCUCGGAACACUGAGACCGAAAGGUCGAGCGUGAAUCAUAUAGUAGAUAUGAUCAACAUAGUGAUGUUCACCAUUGAAACUACUCCAUCUCACGUGAUGAUCGGACGUGGUUUAGUUGAUAUGGAUCACGUGAUCACUUAGAGGAUUAGAGGGAUGUCUAUCUAAGUGGGAGUUCUUUAAUAAUUUGAUUAACUGAACUUUACUUUAUCAUGAACUUAGUCCUGGUAGUAUUAGCAUAUCUAUGUUGUAGAUAAAUAGAUCGCGUUUAGCUGCCCUGUUUUAUAUUUGAUAUGUUCCUAGAGAAAACUAAGUUGAAAGAUGUUAGUAGCAAUGAUGCAGAUUGAAUCCGUGAUCUGAGGAUUAUCCUCAUUGCUGCACAGAAAAAUUAUGUCCUUGAUGCACCGCUAGGUGACAGACCUAUUGCAAGAGCAUAUGCAGACGUUAUGAACAUUUUGACAAAAGCUUGGUAUGAUGACUACUUGAUAGUUUAGUGCACCAUGCUUUACGGCUUAGAACUGGGACUUCAAAAAUGUUUUGAACGCCAUAGAGCAUAUAAGAUGUUCCAAGAAUUGAAAUUUGUAUUUCAUACUCAUGCCCGUGUCGAGAGGUAUGAGACCUCUGACAGUACUUUGCCCACAAGAUGGAGGAGAAUUGCUCAGCUAGUGAGCGUGUGCUCAGAAUGUCUUAGUACUACAAUCACUUGAAUCAAGUGGGAGUUAAUCUUCCAGAUAAGAUAGUGAUUGACAGAGUUCUCUAGUCACUAUCACCAAGUUACUAGAACUUCGUGAUGAACUAUAAUAUGCAAGGGAUAAAUGGAAACGAUUCCCAAGCUCUUCGUGAUGCUGAAAUCGACGAAGGUAGAAAUCAAGAAAAGCAUCAAGUGUUGAUGGUUGACAAGACCACUAAGUUUCAAGAAAAGGGCAAAGGGAAGAAGGGGAACUUCAAACAAGAACGGCAAGCAAGUUGCUACUCAAGUGAAGAAGCCCAAGUCUGUACCUAAGCCUGAGACUAAGUGCUUCUACUGCAAAGGGACUGGUCACUGGAAGCGGAACUACCCCAAGUAUUUGGCGGAUAAGAAGGAUGGCUAGGUGAACAAAGGUAUAUUUGAUAUACAGAUUAUUGAUGUGUAUUUUACUAGUGUUCGUAGCAACCCCUCGGUAUUUGAUACGGGUUCAGUUGCUAAGAGUAGUAACUCGAAACGGGAGUUGCAGAAUGAACAGAGACUAGUUAAGGGUGAAGUGACGAUGUGUGUUGGAAGUGGUUCCAAGAUUGAUAUGAUCAUCAUCGCACGCUCCCUACACUUUCGGGAUUAGUGUUGAACCUAAAUAAGUGUUAUUUGGUGUUUGCGUUGAGCAUGAAUAUGAUUUGAUCAUGUUUAUGGCAAUGCGGUUAUUCAUUUAAGUUAGAGAAUAAUUGUUGUUCUAUUUACAUGAAUAAAACCUUCUAUGGUCAUACACCCAAUGAAAAUGGUUUGUUGGAUCUCGAUCGUAGUGAUACACAUAUUCAUAAUAUUGAAGCCAAAAAAAUGCAAAGUUAAUAAUGAUAGUGCAACUCAUUUGUGGCACUGCCGUUUAGGUCAUAUUGGUGUAAAGCGCAUGAAGAAACUCCAUGCUGGUGGGAUUUUGGAAUCACUUGAUUAUGAAUCACUUGAUGCUUGCGAACCAUGCCUUAUGGGCAAGAUGACUAAAGACUCCGUUCUCCGGAACAAUGGAGCGAGCAGCUGACUUAUUGGAAAUAAUACAUACUGAUGUAUGCUAUCUGAUGAUUGUUGAGGCUCGCGGCGGGUAUCGUUAUUUUCUGACCCUCACAGAUGAUUUGAGCAGAUAUGGGUAUAUCUACUUGAUGAAACAUAAGUCUGAAACAUUUGAAAAGUUCAUAUAAUUUCAGAGUGAAGUGGAAAAUCAUCGUAACAAGAAAAUAAAGUUUCUACGAUCUGAUCGUGGAGGAGAAUAUUUGAGUUACGAGUUUGGUCCUCAUUUGAAACAAUGCGGAAUAGUUUCGCAACUCACGCCACCUGGAACACCAUAGCGUAAUGGUGUGUCCGAACAUCGUAACCGUACUUUAUUAGAUAUGGUGCAAUCUAUGAUGUCUCUUACCGAUUUACCACUAUUGUUUUGGGGUUAUGCAUUAGAGACACCUACAUUCACGUUAAAUAGGGCACCAUCUAAAUCCGUUGAGACGACACAUUAUGAACUUUGGUUUGGCAAGAAACCAAAAGUUGUUGUUUCUUAAAGUUUGGGGUUGCGAUACUUAUGUGAAAAAGUUUCAUCCUGAUAAGCUCAAACCCAAAUCGAAAAAUAUGUCUUCAUAGAAUACCCAAAGGAGGCAGUUGGGUACACCUUCUAUCACAGAUCCAAAAGCAAGAUAUUCGUUGCUUAUAAUGGAUCCUUUCUAGAGAAGGAGUAUCUCUCGGAAGAAGUGAGUGGGAGGAAAGUAGAACUUUAUGAGGUAACUGUACCUGCUCCCUUAUUGGAAAGUAGUUCAUCACAGAAAUCUGUUCCUGUGACUCCUACACCAAUUAGUGAGGAAGCUAAUGAUGAUGAUCAUGUAACUUCAGAUCAAGUUGCUACCGAACCUUGUAGGUCAACCAGAGUGAGAUCCGCACCAGAGUGGUAUGGUAAUCCUGUUCUGGAGGUCAUGUUACUUGACCAUGACGAACCUACGAACUAUGAGGAAGCGAUGAUGAGCCCAGAUUCCGCAAAAUGGCUUGAGGCCAUGAAAUCUGAGAUGGGAUCCAUGUAUGAGAACAAAGUAUGGACUUUGACUGACUUGCCCGAUGAUUGGUGAGCCAUUGAGAUUAAAUGGAUCUUCAAGAGGAAGACGGACUCUGAUAGUAGUGUUACUAUCUACAAAGCUAGAAUUGUCGCAAAAAGGUUUUCGACAAGUUCAAGGUGUUGACUACGAUGAGAGUUUCUCACUCGUAUCUAUGCUUAAGUCUAUCCGAAUCAUGUUAGCAAUUGCUGCAAUUUAUGAAAUCUGGCAAAUGGAUAAACAAAACUGCAUUCCUUAAUGGAUUUAUUAAAGAAGAGUUGUAUAUGAUGCAACCAGAAGGUUUUUUCAAUCCUAAAGGUGCUAACAAAAUGUGCAAGCUCCAGCGAUCUAUCUAUGGACUGGUGCAAGCAUAUCGGAGUCGGAAUAUACGCUUUGAUGAGUUGAUCAAAGCAUAUAGUUUUAUACAGACUUGCGGUGAAGCCUGUAUUUACAAGAAAGUGAGUGGAAGCACUACAACAUUUCUGAUAAGUAUAUGUGAAUGACAUAUUGUUGAUCGGAAAUAAUGUAGAAUUAUUCGGCAAAGCAUAAAGGAGUGUUUAAAAGGAGUUUUUCAAAGAAAGACCUCGGUGAAGCUGCUUACAUAUUCAGCAUCAAGAUCUAUAGAGAUAGAUCAAGACGCUUGAUAUGUUUUUUCAAUGAGUACAUACCUUGACAAGAUUUUGAAGUAGUUCAAAAUGGAACAGUCAAAGAAAGAGUUCUUUCCUGUGUUACAAGGUGUGAAAUUGAGUAAGACUCAAAGCCCGACCACGGCAGAAGAUAGAAAGAGAAUGAAAGUCAUUCCCUAUGCAUCAGCCAUAGGUUCUAUAAAGUAUGCCAUGCUGUGUACCAGAUCCAUUGUAUACCCUACACUGAUUUUGGCAAGGGAGUACAAUAGUGAUCUAGGAGUAGAUCACUGGACAGCGGUCAAAAUUAUCCUUAGUGGAAUAAGGAUAUGUUUCUCGAUUAUGGAGGUGACAAAAGGUCCGUCGUAAAGGGUUACGUCGAUACAAGUUUUUGACACUGAUCCAGAUGACUCUAAGUCUCACCCUGGAUACAUAUUGAAAGUGGGAGCAAUUAGCUAAAGUAGCUUCGUGCAGAGUAUUGUAGACAUAGAAAUUUGCAAAAUACAUACGGAUCUGAAUUUUGGCAGACCCGUCGACUAAGCUUCUCUCACAAGCAAAACAUGAUCACACCUUAGUACUCUUUGGGUGUUAAUCACAUAGAGAUGUGAACUAGAUUACUGACUUUAGUAAACCCUUUGAGUGUUGGUCACAUAACGAUGUGAACUAUGGGUAUUAAUCAUAUGAUGAUGUGAACUCUUGAUGUUAAAUCACACGGCGAUGUGAUCUAGAUUAUUGACUCUAGUGCAAGUGGGAGACUGAAGGAAAUAUGCCCUAGAGGCAAUAAUAAAGUUAUUAUUUAUUUCCUUAUAUCAUGAUAAAUGUUUAUUAUUCAUGCUAGAAUUGUAUUAACCGGAAACAUAAUACAUGUGUGAAUACAUAGACAAACAGAGUGUCACUAGUAUGCCUCUACUUGACUAGCUUGUUAAUUAAAGAUGGUUAUGUUUCCUAACCAUAGACAUGAGUUGUCAUUUGAUUAACGGGAUCACAUCAUUAGGAGAAUGAUGUGAUUGACUUGACCCAUUCCGUUAGCUUAGCACUCGAUCGUUUAGUAUGUUGCUAUUGCUUUCUUCAUGACUUAUACAUGUUCCUAUGACUAUGAGAUUAUGCAACUCCCGUUUACCGGAGGAACACUUUGUGUGCUACCAAACGUCACAACGUAACUGGGUGAUUAUAAAGGUGCUCUACAGGUGUCUCCGAAGAUACUUGUUGGGUUGGCGUAUUUCGAGAUUAGGAUUUGUCACUCUGAUUGUCGGAGAGGUAUCUCUGGGCCCACUCGGUAAUGCACAUCACUUAAGCCUUGCAAGCAUUGCAACUAAUGAGUUAGUUGCGGGAUGAUGUAUUACGGAAUGAGUAAAGAGACUUGCCGGUAACGAGAUUGAACUAGGUAUUGAGAUACCGACGAUCAAAUCUCGGGCAAGUAACAUAUCGAUGACAAAGGGAACAACGUAUGUUGUUAUGCAGUCUGACCGAUAAAGAUCUUCAUAGAAUAUGUGGGAGCCAAUAUGAGCAUCCAGGUUCCGCUAUUGGUUAUUGACCGGAGACGUGUACUCGGUCAUGUCUACAUAGUUCUCGAACCCAUAGGGUCAGCACGCUUAACGUUUCAAUGACAGUUAUAUUAUGAGUUUAUAUGUUUUGAUGUACCGAAGGUUGUUCGGAGUCCCGGAUGUGAUCACAGACAUGACGAGGAGUCUCGAAAUGGUCGAGACAUGAAGAUUGAUAUAUUGGAAGCCUAUAUUUGGAUAUCGGAAGUGUUCCAGGUGAAAUCGGGAUUUUACCGGAGUACCGGAGGGGUUACCGGAACCCCCCCGGGGGUUACUGGGCCAUAGUGGGGCUUAGUUGAGAAGAGGAGAGGCGGCCAGGGCAAGGGCCGCGUGCCCCUCCCCCUGUCCGAAUAGGACAAGGAGAGGGGGGCGGCGCCCCCCCUUCCUUCUUCUCCUCCACCUCUUUCCCCCUCUUCUCCUAAUCCUACAAGGAAUAGGGAGGGAGUCCUACUCCUGGUGGGAGUAGGACUCCUCCUGGCGCUCCCCCUCCUGGCCGGCCGCACCUCCCCCCUUGCUCCUUCAUAUACGGGGGAAAGGGGGCACCCUAGAGACACAACAAUUGAUCGUUUGAUCUUUUAGCCGUCUGCGGUGCCCCCCUCCACCAUAGUCCACCUCGAUAAUACUGUAGCGGUGCUUAGGCGAAGCCCUGCGUCGGUAGAACUUCAUCAUCGUCACCACGCCGUCAUGCUGAUGAAACUCUCCCUCAACACUCGGCUGGAUCGGAGUUCGAGGGACGUCAUCGGGCUGAACGUGGGCUGAACUCGGAGGUGCCGUGCGUUCGGUACUUGAUCGGUCGGAUCGUGAAGACGUAUGACUACAUCAACCGUGUUGUGCUAACGUUCCGCUUUCGGUCUACGAGGGUACGUGGACAACAGUCUCCCCUCUCGUUGCUAUGCAUCACCAUGAUCUUGCGUGUGCGUAGGAAAUAUUUUGAAAUUACUACGUUCUCCAACAAUCCCCGGCGGCACCAUCAGUGGUGUCAUCCCCGACGCCACUAGAGGUUGUGUAGUCGGGAUCGGUGUCUUCCGCGGCGUCCUCAUAGCGGUGAGGUUCUUCCUCCAUCUCCUGGGACAGCUCCCAGAAUGACUUGCCCGAACCGCUGGCCUCAUCGUUGUCGGCCAUGUUCGCUCUAAAUAGGAAACAAGGCUACUAGAGUUAUUGGAUGAGAUCAAGGUAGUAUCUAUUCUUCUAUCCUAUAUAUUUUCACAUUACAGGUUAUAAACACCCCUUUAUCCAAAAGAUUGUUCCAAGUGCACUAUUGCUAUCCUACUAAGUGCACUAUUGCAGGUUAUAUAUUUUCUAUCCUACUAAGUGCACUAUUGCUAAACCUGACUCAACUUAAAGUAGCAUUCAUGAUGAAAGGAAACAUGAAACCAUGCUUUCAGCAAACUCUCAAAAGAAAUCAAAGAAUGGCCAAUACCGAGUAUCAUUUACUUUAGUUGUAUAUUAAUACUCUGCUAAUCAACAUUGAAGGAGUUUGGACAUUUUGUGUAUAACAAACAUUACUUUAUUCAUAUAGCAUGAUGAUGCUUUUACCCCUUGAACUGCAGCAUAGACCAUGCAUUUAAUCACUUUGCCACAUACACAACAGACAAAGUACCCUAGGCAGUACUAGAUACUAGCAAAUAUAAGGGCAAAAAUCAAAUCAUUUGAUCUACAGACUGCACAUUAGCAGUCCAAGGCGCAAACAAACCAAAAAAGGUGAAUAGACUUAACAAAGCAGCAAAAGGAGCAGGAACACAAGGCCAUCAACAGUAGGUUGCAGAUGACAUUACACUACAGCUGACCAGCCUAUCCAGAUAUCAUUUUAAACACCACACCACAGGAGCUCCCCUGGGUCAAGUGGCCAGGUUACUACAAUUUUUAGGAACUGUCAAAAUUUACAGGAGAUUACACAUAACAGACAAAGCUGUGAUCCUUUACUCCUAUUUGACUACAGACAAGCACCAAACUACCAUCAUCAGAAGAAUACAUGGUGUUGUAGUAACAACAAAUAGACCAUAUGCGCAGAUAUAAGCAAUUUUGAACAAUGCUCCCAGGUAAAAGCCAUUCAUGCUGAUUAAUUUUUGUUUCGGUUGAGAAUCGGGCACCUUCUAGGUCAAGAAAAUUGGGCAUGACCUUUGCUAAUUUUCUUGACCUAGGAGUACCCCAUUCUCAACCGUAACAGAAAUUAAUCAACAUUUCAGGAGAAAGGGGCAACUAUUUGUCCCUGCAAACCACAGCAUUGGAAUAGUACCAAACUGGUUCAUGUAAUCCACUUAAUAUCAAAACAGUAGCUUAAAGGUUCAAGCUUUCGCCAGAUCAUUCAAUAGAGCUACAAUCCAGGCUUCUGUCAGCAGUUCAAACAAACUAUAAACCAAGCAAGGGCUGACUACCACCAGGCAGCUAGUAGGAACAACUGCAGCUGGCACUACCACGCAUAAGCACUAAUAGAUCCAAUGAUUGCAGUAGGUGCAGGCAUAUCAUACACUUUCUUACCUUGUCCUGAAGUUGCAACCACCAGACCAGAGAGAAGUCGCUCCUCCUCUUCUUCCCUCAGCCCCAAAUUCGCCUGCAAUAACAACCACGAUUCCGGUCAGGGUAAAUUCAUCACAGCAUGUAUGGAUAUUAACCACUGCACAUCACAUUCGCAUCAGUACUUAUACUUGCCACUGAAGGAGCCUCAGUUCAGUUCAGUUUGACACUCGGACAGUAGCAAAACUCAGGGGAAAUGGUUCAGCAUAAUGCUCUCUAAUCACACAACAGCGAUGGCGGUUCUGAAUCUGAGAUACUUUGUGUCUCCGUGGAGAUUGCUUUCCAUGGGACACAGCUAGUUGCUGUUACUUGAUAAACAACUGCAUCUGGCUAACUGAAAUAUGGCACGCUCUGAACCUAAGCUACUCUGCUUCUUGGCGAACAUGUGAACCUUCGUCCAGAAAAGGAAAUCCCCUUUUCAUCUAUUUGAUUCAAAGACCGGAACUUAUGUUUGAGGAGUAAGCAGUAACUAUAACAUAACUGGAUAAGAAAUUGAGAUUAAAAAAAACAUAACUAUAACAAAACAGAGCCAGAGCAGAUACAUUCUUGCACCACUUGACAGAAUGCAUUGGCAAGUGUAUGCAUCAUACUGUCAUUUCGCUAUCACUAUGAAUGGCUAGUGCAAGAGUCAAGCAAUGCUCGGCAGAUCCGGCGUUUGCGGGCACGACGAUGCGCACGGGCUAGCGCAUUGGGGUCUACAGCGGUGAGUUCGGCCCCAACGAGCACGAUGGCUACGGGCGCGGCAAGUCGAGAAGGAAGAGGGGAGAGGAGGCGGAGCUCACCGGGGAGGCACAAGGAGGCCCUGCGAGAGCUUAGUAGCAGUAGAGGUGGCCAGAGUUGAGGAAGACGGCGGCGACCCGAGGAAGAAGACAAGGUGGAUCCGGUGCUGUGCGGCUCCUCGGCUCGCGCGCGUCGACGUAGAGGUAGCAGCGGAUGCCGGUGGAGUGGUUGGACCAGUCGGAGGAGCACGGGGGAAGGUGGUCGCCGCGGUGGUGGGCGACGAACGGCGACGGAGGCGAUCGGGCGCAUGGAUCUGGCGAGGGAGGGAGAGAGGCCAGAGGGAGAGGGGAG